rnacentral:rRNA from 1 species
UACCAGCACCCCGAGUGGUCGGGACGUUUAUUGGGCCUAAAGCAUCCGUAGCCGGUUCUGCAAGUCUUCCGUUAAAUCCACCUGCUUAACAGAUGGGCUGCGGAAGAUACUAUAGAGCUAGGAGGCGGGAGAGGCAAGCGGUACUCGAUGGGUAGGGGUAAAAUCCGUUGAUCCAUUGAAGACCACCAGUGGCGAAGGCGGCUUGCCAGAACGCGCUCGGCGGUGAGGGAUGAAAGCUGGGGGAGCAAACCGG